rnacentral:rRNA from 1 species
UACGGAGGGUGCAAGCGUUAUCCGGAUUUACUGGGCUUAAAGGGUGUGUAGGCGGGCUAUUAAGUCAGUGGUGAAAUCUCCGGGCUCAACCUGGAAACUGCCAUUGAUACUAUUAGUCUUGAAUUUUGUUGAGGUAGGCGGAAUAAGUCAUGUAGCGGUGAAAUGCGUAGAUAUGACUUAGAACACCAAUUGCGAAGGCAGCUUGCUAAGCAAAUAUUGACGCUGAGGCACGAAAGCGUGGGGAUCAAACAGG